rnacentral:lncRNA from 1 species
AUUCCCUUUUUGCUCACCCCACCUGGUACUCCAUGUCGUAGCUGGGCAGGAUGAUCCGCCCGUGCUUCCACUCGCCGCCCUGGUCCUCGCGGAUGACCCACAGCAGCUUGCUCUCCUGGCUGGCUUCCCGUACCACCUGCAGCGCCACCCCGCGGCCGCCCGUGGCCUGGUACUGGAACUCCAUGCACACCGGGCUUCGGGGCAGGUGGACAGGGGGGCUGAUGAGCCGGGCAUACUGGCCCUCUCUCCGGCUGUCACUCUGCAGCCGCAAGAAAUUCCUGUCAUCUGGCGGAAACAAACCCAAACAGAGGUUCUCCAUAAACACUCGGGAAAGACACCAGUGUGCUGCUGUGGCCUCUCCAAGCAUUUACUGACUGUACUGCUGAUUUUAUGUUUUUAAAAGGACUUCAGGCCAUUUUCCAUGGAUUUCAGCAUUAUCUAGUGAGGGAGAAUGAGACAGCUAUAAAGAUACCAGCCACUGAACACUCCAUCAAGGGAUCCCACAGAAGACACAUCCCUCCAUUACUUGCUUCUUGGUUCAUACCAAAACCAGGGAACUAAAGAAUCAUCAAGGGCCCCUGGAGGUUGCUCUCAUGUGAAUGUCCAAAGCACUGGAGCAGUGUUGUCCAAUACAUUCUGUGAUGAUGCCGUGUAUACAGUGACGUGCCCUGUCUAUGCACUGACCAAUACAGUGUAGCUACUGUGCCCUUGGAAUGUGGCUGGUGGGACAGCAGAACCGAAGUUUUGGCUGUAAUAAUUUUAAUUAAUUAAAAUAAAAUUGCCACACAUGGCUCAUGGCUACAAUAUUCAAUGCUGCAGCUUUAGAUACCU